GUUGGUAGAGCUACUCGGAUGCUUCCAGGUCAGAGGAGGUCUGCUCGACCGGCUCCAGGUCGGAGGAGGUCUGCUCGGCCGUCUGCUCGACCGGCUCCAGGUCGGAGGGGCCACUCGAGCGCCUUCGGGUCUCCUGGUCGAAGGAUCUGGUCGGUCGCCUCCAGAUCGGAGGGUCUGGUCGGACGCUUCCAGGUCGGAGAGGCCACUUGGGCGCCUCCAGGUCGGACACCUCCAGGUCGAAGGGUCUGCUCGGAUGUUCGUGAAAGCGU
rnacentral:lncRNA from 1 species